ACGCGGCGGCCGCCGCCAUCUUGUGCGGCCGCCAUCUCCUGGCCCGCCGCGCCCGCGACUCACCGUUUUCGUCAAAUAAAGACAUAAACCCAACGCUGCUCGCCCGGGACUGGGAUGAAGUGAGGCGCGAUAUAAACCCGAGUCCGAGUCCGAGGAGGCGGAGGCGAAGCGCAGCGAGGAGCGGCCGGGCCAGGUGCCGCCGCCGAGCAGCGGGGAGGGGCUGUCCCAGCGACGUCCGCGGUCCACACCCGUCAGCGCCGGAGCUGGGCGACCUGGCGCGGAGAGACGGCGCCGUGAGCCGUGGGCGGUCGGGGAGUGCACCUUCCCCGCCAGCCAGCGGCCCGAGGGGUCGAGGGGGCGGGAAGCACCGGGCAGGGGGCCGCCCCUUCACCGGACUCACCUCUGGAAUGUUCUCGCUCUGACUGAACAACGCCGCCGCCGCGCUCAAGCUACCCUCGGCCCCAGCGUCCGCCCCCCGCGUCAGGCCUCACUGCCCAUUGGCUGGAGGCCUGCCACAGCUCGCUCGUCAUUGGUUCGCUUGCGACGUCAAUCGCAUCUUUCCGCGCCCCUUCUGCUUCCUGAGGCUCAACUCGCGGCCUCGGCCCGCCUCCAGCCCCGGUCUCGCUUCCUUCCUCUCCCCUCCCCCCGCCUUUCCCAGAGGUCUUCGCGGCGCAGCCCUUGGGUCUCGCGAGACCCGGAGUGGCCCUGGUGGCGGGGCCGGGGUACCGGGGGCCGUUCUUUGUCGGUUUGGGCCUUGAGGGGGAGAUGGUGGUUGGUCCCCUCCCUCGCCGGGUCUGGGACAGGCCGCGGCGUCAUGGCGACUCCCGGGACGCAGGAGCCAUCGUCCUCGAAACUGCUUUCGAGGCCGUGUUUUUGCGGCUGCCACCUUCGGGGAGAGGAACCCGACCGCGUUCUCCCCGCAGCGGGCGCUCAUCUCCCUUUCCCGUUCUCCCGGGACGCCCGACUCCGGGCCUCGAGGAAUGAGUUGUUUUUCCACCUUAAGCCCCAGGCCUGGGUCUUUCAUCCCAGGGACGUCUUCUGUUUCGGACUCGGGGUGGAUUGGCCGCUGGCGGAACGAGUCCGUGACUCGCCAGUGACCGCCCAGGGCGGUCGCGAGGCCGCGCCGCCUCGGUGUCGGCCCGCAACCCAGCCUGCGCGCUUAGCUCAGCGCGUCGCCUCCCGUUUUCGGAAGAGGAGGCCCUUAAUUGGUUUGGAAUCCUGGGGCCUCCUGAAGGCGCUUCGUGGUGGGUUCCCACCUUCUGGUGAAGGCCUCCCUGCUCUCCCAGGGUUGAAAAGCGCUAUCCUUCGUGCUUCUCUUGUCACCUUUCUCCUAGUGGGCAUCACGUCGAGUCCACCCCCUCUAGUUUAUGACUUGUGAAUUCUUUGAUAAGCAAAUCGUAGCCCAGAGCAGGCAUUUAUAAUGAGAUUCCAAUGUAUUCCGUUGAAAAUUACUAUUAUUUAGGCCGGUCGCGGUGGCUCACGUCUGUAAUCCCAGCACUUUGGGAGGCUGAGGUGGGCGGAUCACCUGAGGUCGGGAAUUUGAGACCAGCCUGGCCAAUAUGGUGGAACCCUGUCUCUACUAAAAAUACAAAAAAUUAGCUGGGCGUGGUGGCUCGCUUGUAAUCCCAGCUACUCGGGAGGCUGAGGCAGGAGAAUCCUUGAACCCGGGAGGCACAGGUUACAGUGAGCCGAGAUCACACCACUGCACUCCAGCCUGGACAACAGAGCGAGACUGUCUCCAAAAAAAAAAAAAAA
rnacentral:lncRNA from 1 species